GCGGUGGAUGAUGUGGAUUAAUUCGAUGCAACGCGAAAACCUUACCUACCCUUGACAUGUCUGGAACCUUGGUGAGAGCCGAGGUGCCUUCGGGAGCCAGAACACAGGUGCUGCAUGGCUGUCGUCAGCUCGUGUCGUGAGAUGUUGGGUUAAGUCCCGCAACGAGCGCAACCCUUGUCAUUAGUUGCUACGAAAGGGCACUCUAAUGAGACUGCCGGUGACAAACCGGAGGAAGGUGGGGAUGACGUCAAGUCCUCAUGGCCCUUAUAGGUGGGGCUACACACGUCAUACAAUGGCUGGUACAAAGGGUUGCCAACCCGCGAGGGGGAGCCAAUCCCAUAAAGCCAGUCGUAGUCCGGAUCGCAGUCUGCAACUCGACUGCGUGAAGUCGGAAUCGCUAGUAAUCGUGGAUCAGCAUGUCACGGUGAAUACGUUCCCGGGUCUU
rnacentral:rRNA from 1 species